rnacentral:rRNA from 1 species
AGAGUUUGAUCCUGGCUCAGGAUGAACGCUAGCUACAGGCUUAACACAUGCAAGUCGAGGGGCAGCAUCAUCAAAGCUUGCUUUGAUGGAUGGCGACCGGCGCACGGGUGAGUAACACGUAUCCAACCUGCCGACAACACUGGGAUAGCCUUUCGAAAGAAAGAUUAAUACCGGAUGGCAUAAUUAUUCCGCAUGGGAUAAUUAUUAAAGAAUUUCGGUUGUCGAUGGGGAUGCGUUCCAUUAGGCAGUUGGCGGGGUAACGGCCCACCAAACCUACGAUGGAUAGGGGUUCUGAGAGGAAGGUCCCCCACAUUGGAACUGAGACACGGUCCAAACUCCUACGGGAGGCAGCAGUGAGGAAUAUUGGUCAAUGGACGAGAGUCUGAACCAGCCAAGUAGCGUGAAGGAUGACUGCCCUAUGGGUUGUAAACUUCUUUUAUACGGGAAUAAAGUGAGCCACGCGUGGCUUUUUGUAUGUACCGUAUGAAUAAGGAUCGGCUAACUCCGUGCCAGCAGCCGCGGUAAUACGGAGGAUCCGAGCGUUAUCCGGAUUUAUUGGGUUUAAAGGGAGCGUAGGCGGGUUGUUAAGUCAGUUGUGAAAGUUUGCGGCUCAACCGUAAAAUUGCAGUUGAUACUGGCGACCUUGAGUGCAACAGAGGUAGGCGGAAUUCGUGGUGUAGCGGUGAAAUGCUUAGAUAUCACGAAGAACUCCGAUUGCGAAGGCAGCUUACUGGAUUGUAACUGACGCUGAUGCUCGAAAGUGUGGGUAUCAAACAGGAUUAGAUACCCUGGUAGUCCACACAGUAAACGAUGAAUACUCGCUGUUGGCGAUAUACGGUCAGCGGCCAAGCGAAAGCAUUAAGUAUUCCACCUGGGGAGUACGCCGGCAACGGUGAAACUCAAAGGAAUUGACGGGGGCCCGCACAAGCGGAGGAACAUGUGGUUUAAUUCGAUGAUACGCGAGGAACCUUACCCGGGCUUAAAUUGCAACUGACUGAACCGGAGACGGUUCUUUCUUCGGACAGUUGUGAAGGUGCUGCAUGGUUGUCGUCAGCUCGUGCCGUGAGGUGUCGGCUUAAGUGCCAUAACGAGCGCAACCCUUACGGGUAGUUACCAUCAGGUUAUGCUGGGGACUCUACCCGGACUGCCGUCGUAAGAUGUGAGGAAGGUGGGGAUGACGUCAAAUCAGCACGGCCCUUACGUCCGGGGCUACACACGUGUUACAAUGGGGGGUACAGAAGGCAGCUACACGGCGACGAGGUGCUAAUCCCGAAAGCCUCUCUCAGUUCGGAUUGGAGUCCGCAACCCGACUCCAUGAAGCUGGAUUCGCUAGUAAUCGCGCAUCAGCCACGGCGCGGUGAAUACGUUCCCGGGCCAUGCACACACCGCCCGUCA